UACAGAGGUCUCAAGCGUUGUUCGGAUUCAUUGGGCGUAAAGGGUGCGUAGGUGGCGCGCUAAGUCAGGUGUGAAAUUUCGGAGCUUAACUCUGAAACUGCAUUUGAUACUGGCGUGCUUGAGGACUGGAGAGGAGACUGGAAUUCAUGGUGUAGCAGUGAAAUGCGUAGAGAUCAUGAGGAAGACCAGUGGCGAAGGCGGGUCUCUGGACAGUUCCUGACACUGAGGCACGAAGGCCAGGGGAGCAAACGGG
rnacentral:rRNA from 1 species